UCUGUUCAAUACAGUCUUCCAUUUGCUCCAAUCGGCCGUGCAGACGAUUAGUGUAUCUGUCUAAAGACUCCUAUGCUUAAGUCAGUUAAGGUUUUGGUUUGGCCGACUGAUCGAAGAUCGUAUGGGUGUCCUUAUAGGUGAGGGUUUCCAUGAAGAUGGAGACAAAGUUCAAAUGGAGAUGAAGGCGGAGGGAGUGUUUAGUCCGUCUGGCCGACAGGUAGCCGAUUUAGCGUGUUCAUAACUGAGACUCCGAUGGAACGAUCAUCUCAGCGUUCAAUGUGAAGUUCGCAUGUAGCAGGCGGCCUGGGGCCGCUUGACCUUAGUCCGCUUUACUGAUCUGCCGAUGGGCUACACAAUACACUUUGUAAGAUAAUAGAUUGAUGAUUAAUUAUUUAUAAAAUAAAAUGGAUGAAUUUGAUUCCAUUUAUGUU